AAAAUUCACUAUCUAGCAAAUGAACUCAAAGCGAUUCAGGAAGCGGGGAGGGGAGCUUACCCUUUAUUGACCCUUCCAGGCUCCUUUCUCAUCAUCAGCAUAUCCAAACAUUUCCACCUUGUCCAUCAACAGCUCAUCUGAAUAUUUGUCACCUCAUCCACCACCCGCACAUCCAAACCAAUCCUGCCUUUCUCUAUCAACGGGCUCAGGGCACAGUCGUGGAUUUGUCCUUGCUGUAGCCAGUUUUCCGCUUGUGCUCUCUCAGUCAUUUGUUUCCUAGGCAACCUCUGCUCUCAAUGCUCCAAGCAGUCCUCGCUUCCAGUAGCUUCUGUGACCCCAACGUUCCCAGCAGGCCCCGCUGCAACCAACGUCAGGACAGCAGGCGGCGGCGGCGGUGGCGCCAUUUUCGCCAGCGUCGGUAACGAGGUAACGACUGCGCGGUCUCUGCUGCUGUUGAGGGCCUCACUGCGCGUUGCUUCAGCCAUGUCUGCUACCGGUGAGCAAGACCCGGCUCCAGGAGGACAGAGCCAAGCUGAUGAAGAAGCAAGCCCGGACCCGAAGCCCCUCCUUGAUGACAUGGUGCCCGUGGAAUGGUUGGUUGUGAUGAUGGGAGCAAUGGUACUUCUAGCUUUUCGUACGAUUGUCCGAAACUUUGAGGAAAAGGCGAAUGAGCAAGAGGUGCCCCAACCCACCUUCGACUGGGACCAGGAUGAACAACUGGUAAAUGCGAAGGAUGAAGAGGAAAAGGAAGGCGAGGAAGAAGACCGUGAGGAGCGGGGAGAAGCAGCAGAACGUAAGUUACAGGAUGCUGAAACUGUGUUUAAAUUGAAAUCUUCCUCCCAUGACAUCAUGGCCCCCAAAUCUCUGUCAUUACUUGCUAAACAAGCAUUGUUUCAUUACUAUCAAUCUUUUGAUGAAGAGAUACAAGGUGAAUGCAAGGAGGAAGAAGAAAAAGAGAACAAAAAUGAAGAACCUGAAGGAUACCAAAAGUAACACGUCAACAUCUCUUAGGAAUCCAGUUGGAAAGCAUAGAAAGAAAUGGAUGGAAAGAGGAAAAAGUGAAUUUGUAUCUCAUGAGUUGUGUACUUUUCAGUAUCCCGGGAACCUGGUUUUGUUUCAAAGUUAAUAACAUAGAAGUGACUUCACCUGACAUCUGAAGUUACAUUGUCUUCUUAAAGAAAUAUUUGAGUGCCUUUGUUCAUAUAAAAAUAAAAUCUGGUUUGAAAUGCAUA
rnacentral:lncRNA from 1 species